rnacentral:rRNA from 1 species
CUACGGGACGCACCAGUGAGGAAUAUUGCACAAUGGGGGGAACCCUGAUGCAGCAACGCAGCGUGGAGGAUGACGCAUUUCGGUGUGUAAACUCCUUUUAUAUGUCAAGAAAAUGACGGUAGCAUAUGAAUAAGCACCGGCUAACUCCGUGCCAGCAGCCGCGGUAAUACGGAGGGUGCAAGCGUUACUCGGAAUCACUGGGCGUAAAGGACGCGUAGGCGGGUUGGAAAGUCAGGUGUGAAAUCCUAAAGCUUAACUGUAGAACUGCACUUGAAACUUCUAAUCUAGAGUAUGGGAGGGGGAGAUGGAAUUAGUGGUGUAGGGGUAAAAUCCGUAGAUAUCACUAGGAAUACCUAAAGCGAAGGCGAUCUCCUGGAACAUUACUGACGCUAAGGCGUGAAAGCGUGGGGAGCAAACAGGAUUAGAUACCCCCGUAGUC